rnacentral:rRNA from 1 species
AUUGAACGCUGGCGGCAGGCCUAACACAUGCAAGUCGAGCGGUAGAGAGAAGCUUGCUUCUCUUGAGAGCGGCGGACGGGUGAGUAAUGCCUAGGAAUCUGCCUGGUAGUGGGGGAUAACGUUCGGAAACGGACGCUAAUACCGCAUACGUCCUACGGGAGAAAGCAGGGGACCUUCGGGCCUUGCGCUAUCAGAUGAGCCUAGGUCGGAUUAGCUAGUUGGUGAGGUAAUGGCUCACCAAGGCGACGAUCCGUAACUGGUCUGAGAGGAUGAUCAGUCACACUGGAACUGAGACACGGUCCAGACUCCUACGGGAGGCAGCAGUGGGGAAUUUUGGACAAUGGGCGAAAGCCUGAUCCAGCAAUGCCGCGUGCAGGAUGAAGGCCUUCGGGUUGUAAACUGCUUUUGUACGGAACGAAAAAGCUUCUCCUAAUACGAGAGGCCCAUGACGGUACCGUAAGAAUAAGCACCGGCUAACUACGUGC